UAUUUCGACUUCAAAUGAGGUCUCAUUAUCUUGGUGCCAUCUGACCUUGCAAUCAUAAAUUCUUGCGAUGGAAUUCUCCUGCUGUUUAUUUAUAAAACACUCUUCUACUUUGGGCUGGGUAAGAGAUUAUUAAUGUCCUGGCCAGGUAUAAUUACUGUGCACAGGAGAGAGAUGACACACAAAGGGUGUUUCUUUCCCUGAAUUCCCUUUGAUCUGGCUCUUUGCUGGGAAAGUAGAAAUUAGGUGAUAUCUAUCUUGGGCUCCAUUUACCUGGGAGAAUAGAACACUGAUCUCAGGUGGCCUCAAACUCAAAUUGCUAUUCAUUCUCCUCAAAAUCUCUCCCCUUUCCCAAUCCAACUUCUGUAGAGAAAAUAGCUUUAGAACUGAAAUAGAGCUCAAGAACUUCUUUUUCCUCCUCCUUAAUAUCAUCUUUUUUCCUAAUUACAUGUAGAAAUAAAUUUUAACAUUUGUUUUCUGAUGAUUUAUGAUCAAAAUUCUCUCUUUCUCUCACCCUCUCCUUCCCCCUUCCUGGGAUAGCAAGUAAUCUGAUAUAGGUUUUACACGUAUUGUCAUGCAAUAUAUAUUUGUCAUUUUGUAAAAGAGGACACAUAGUAUACAUAACAAGAAAAGACACAUAAAGGAAAUAAAGUGAGAAAUGGUGUGCUUUGAUCUGUACCAGACUCCAUCAAUUCCUUCUAUGGUGCAGGAAAGCAUUUUUCAUCACGAGCCCCUUGGAAUUGUAUUAGAUCAUUGCAUUGCUGAUAAUAGUUAAGUCAUUCACAGUUGAUCAUCCUAAGUAAUUGUUUUUUUUUUUAAACACUAACCUUCUGUCUUAGAAUCAAUAUUGUGUAUUGGUUUCAAGGCCAAAGAGUGGUAAGGGCUGGGCAAUGGAGGUUAAGUGACUUGCCCAGGGUGUUUGAGGACAGAUUUGAAUCUAGGAUCUCCCAUCUCUAAGUCUGGCUCCCAAUCCACUGAGCCACCUAGCUGUUUCCAUAACUUAUUUCUACAGCUGAAUAAACUGAGGCUAGUGAAUUACCCAAGAUCCUGCUUCCAUCAUACCACAUUGACUCUCAGAAUAGUAAUGAUCAAAAGUGACUUGCCCAGGGUGUUUGAGGACAGAUUUGAAUCUAGGAUCUCCCAUCUCUAAGUCUGGCUCCCAAUCCACUGAGCCACCUAGCUGUUUCCAUAACUUAUUUCUACAGAUGAAUAAACUGAGGCUAGUGAAUUACCCAAGAUCCUGCUUCCAUCAUACCACAUUGACUCUCAGAAUAGUAAUGAUCAAAAGUGACUUGCCCAGGGUGUUUGAGGACAGAUUUGAAUCUAGGAUCUCCCAUCUCUAAGUCUGGCUCCCAAUCCACUGAGCCACCUAGCUGUUUCCAUAACUUAUUUCUACAGAUGAAUAAACUGAGGCUAGUGAAUUACCCAAGAUCCUGCUUCCAUCAUACCACAUUGACUCUCAGAAUAGUAAUGAUCAAAAGUAAUGUUGGAGAUUGUAUAUGAAAUUAUAAUUAUUUAUUAAUAAAGAUGAGAGAAAGAGGGAAAGAAAAACCACCAGGUUGCCCUAACUAUAAAAACAAAAUAAAACAAAACAAAAUAACUCUUCCAUGCUUCCCAAGAUCUAGUAUCCAGUUGAAGUUCAAGUGAAGCAUUAACAGUGCCAGAGAAGGGAGAGAGCUGCCCCAGCUUGCAUUCAGGAAGAGUUCCAUGCCCAAGACAGCACUCUACUGCCUGACCCCCUGUCUUUAUAAGUCUGAUGACAUCACUCUUACUGGGCUUUCUAAUUGGACAGUUUGGGCCACCAGUCCUGACUUCUAGUUAAGUCAACCACCAUGUGGGAACUUCUCCCAGCUGCUUCUGGAAGUCAAGACUCCAGGUGCCCAAUGUGGCCCUUUGAUCACUUGACUUGUUGGUAUCCUGACUUAAUGCACAUGUGCAGAGUCAUCAAAGACCAAAUGGCAAGAUGAAAAUCAAGAUGACUGAUGAUGACUCAGGAUGCAAUGGAUGCCCUUGGCUUCUUUGAUGUCUGAUCAAGCUCUAAGCCCUCCACACUAUCUGCUUCCAUUGCUUUCAUGGGGUUGCAAUAAAUUGUUCUCAUCUA